rnacentral:rRNA from 1 species
UACGUAGGGGGCAAGCGUUGUCCGGAUUUAUUGGGCGUAAAGAGCGUGUAGGCGGCCUUACAGGUCAGCUGUGAAAACUCGAGGCUCAACCUCGAGACGUCGGUUGAAACCGUAAGGCUAGAGUCCGGAAGAGGAGAGUGGAAUUCCCGGUGUAGCGGUGAAAUGCGCAGAUAUCGGGAAGAACACCCGUGGCGAAAGCGGCUCUCUGGGACGGUACUGACGCUGAGACGCGAAAGCGUGGGGAGCGAACAGG